ACCCGGGUGGCGGAACUGGUAGACGCGCAGGACUUAAAAUCCUGUUUGCCGAAAGGCGAGUACGGGUUCAACUCCCGUCCCGGGUACAA
rnacentral:tRNA from 1 species